rnacentral:lncRNA from 1 species
AUUUCUCCCAAAAAAUAAAAUUCUAGUCUCCUUGGGAGAUUCAAUGACCAUACAUACAAUUUUAGCCCAAGCAUGUCUUCUUGGCUUUGUACCCAUCAGAUGCCUGAUGUUUCCAAGUGCAGAACCUCUUAGGGGUUUAUUGGACAAUGUAGCUCAUCUGUGUUGCUGCCCCACCUGUGCCAGCAGAUUCAGAAAUGCCUGAAUUUGCAAAAUAUUUGAGUUUCGAUCAUCAUAGGCAAGGUGAAAUAGAAAGUCGAAGAAAUCAUCUCGAUCAUUACAGUAAAGUACCACUUCUUUCUGUGGAGAAAAGAGAACAUGCCUUUGUCUUUUAUGAAACUGGCUAUAUGAAGAUUCAUGAGAGACCUUAAUGACAGAAGUGAACAAUGUGUAGACAAGCUGACAACAUUUCAUCACAAUCUACUGCUAUGGUCAGGGGCUUAUGCUUAUGCUGCUUGUUAAAUGCAGUGACUAACACAGCAU